GCGACCACGUCUCGUCCGUCGGAUCGGCUCGCGGUUGACCCCGUCCGUCGGAUCGGCACUGAUUUUUUUUUAUUCUUUUGCGAAUCGGAUCCGCUCUGAACCUUCUGCGCCUCCUCGCCACCUCCACCGCCGCCGCUCGGCGCUCGCCACCUCCCCGCCCGCCGCCCGGCCGCCCCUAUUCAGCGCGGCAAACUGCGCUCCGGGCUCCGCGGACCAGCAGGGAUCUGCCUCCUCCGUUCCCGGCCCUCUUCGUCUCGUCUCGUGGGGCGGCGGUCCGGGACCCGCUGCCUCCGUCGGUGGUGGCCAUCUUCGUCGGGCACGGCGGCCGAGCCCUCCUCCCCUACAUCUUCUUGCCCCUGUCUUCCUCUCAGGCUCGCCCCUUCGAGCUGCCAUCGCUGCCUGCAGGAAGGAAGAGGAAGAUGAGGAGGAAUGGGAAGGGGAGGAAGAGAGGGCGAGGAAAGACGAAGAGGAGACCACCAACCUUCUUGGGCCAUGCGCUCGAGACCAAGAUCACAUGCUAGUAGUACCCAACGCGCUCUCCACCAAACCCAUGGUAACGACAACCUAGCGAACCAAGGUAUAGUGUAUACUACUCCUACUGCAUCCUUUGAAGGGAAAACCUGAAUCUGCAGCCCCCUCCUAACACCAAGACACUGCCUUGCUGAUUGAUUUUCCUUCCAGAUGCUCGCUUUCUGAUGCUUGCCAUGGAUCUUCAAAUUUGUUACUACUAGUUUUGGCAUCAAUGAGCAGUUAAGUUAGUCUAUUCUCUGUUGCUGUUUACUGCUUUGCAGAUAUUGACAUGUGCAUUCAAUGCUUGGGUCUGGGUAACACAGGACCAAAAUGGCAGUAAUUCUUGUCCAGUAUUCUUGCUUCUCGGUGAUCACUAUUGUUGAGAAUAGAGUAAUGCUCGUAAUAACAGUUACUCACUUGCUUUUGGAUCUUUCUAGUCUUUUGCUAGGGAUUAUUCCUUUCAGAGUAUUAAUGAUUAUAAAACUAUAAAUGGAUAUGUAAAGUACACAGCUCUUAAUUCAGUUCAGCUGCCCAUAGAUUGACCUGCUUUCAUCUUUCAAUGCCUUAAGCAGCUAAUUUGAUUUGGGUUCUGCUCUGGACUACAGGAUAGAGUCACUAUGGCUGAGACCAUCUCUUUUCUGAAGCAAAUGCUACUGAAAUUGGUGCCCAGAUUAAUCUUGAGACAAAGACGGUUGCUGAGUUAUUUUGCUUGGACAUCUUCAUCAAAUAUGAUGCAAGGAUGCAUCCACCCAUCACCAUUUCGGCUUUGCAACGUACAAGUUUCAUAUUUUAUUUUGCAUCUCCUGAUGUUCAUUUCUUUCGUGCCUGGACUGCAGCAUGUUCGGUUUACUGUCACCGUGAGUAAGCUUAGCUCAGCUUAGCUAUGAUGGUGGUCUUCUUCCUGAAAACGUGCCAUGAGUCAGGAAGUGCAUAUGGUGUUCAAUACAG
rnacentral:lncRNA from 1 species